rnacentral:rRNA from 1 species
UACGUAGGGUGCAAGCGUUGUCCGGAAUUAUUGGGCGUAAAGAGCUCGUAGGCGGUUUGUCGCGUCUGCUGUGAAAAUCCAGGGCUUAACCCUGGACCUGCAGUGGGUACGGGCAGACUAGAGUGCGGUAGGGGAGAUCGGAAUUCCUGGUGUAGCGGUGAAAUGCGCAGAUAUCGGGAAGAACACCCGUGGCGAAGGCGGCUCUCUGGGACGGUACCGACGCUGAGACGCGAAAGCGUGGGGAGCGAACAGG